GCUAAAGCUGCCGCCGCGGCCGCCGCCGCGGCUUCCACAGCAAUUGCCGUUGGCGGCUGUGCGUUCGAUUACGGGGUCGGGUUCGCUGUGCGCCGCGUCGUGUUGUGGCUACGUUAAGCUACUGCUGGUGGGCUGCUGCUGUCGAUAGCAUUUGCUUCCGUCCCUAUGGCUCUACGUGGUAUUGUUGAUGCUUUUCGUAAAGGACGUAGCCGCCUGUUCGUAGUACUCUUGUAGCGGCUGCUGUUGUUUGUGUAUGCAACAGAGAAGAACGCAGCGGACGAGAGAGAGAAUACUCCCUGGCGCUGGCGAUUCGUUCAGCCGACAGCGGUCGGUCGGUCGGUCGGUCGGUUGGUCGGGCGAAACGAACACCAGGCUUCGAGCGGACGAAGAAGCCAGCAUUCAACCGGCGUUACUACAGAGCUAGUCGAGAACUGGCGCUGCAAAAGAGACGAAUAGGCGAUACUGAAAAGCGGCGGCCCAAUCGACAGACCUACGAAGACAAAGCAUAGAAUAAGCGACGAUUCAACACAGGUUAAGCUAACGUCAUCGAGCAAGACUAAGACGCCGAUCAAGACAAAUCUCUGUUGCCAGUCGUCAGUCGAAGGAGCUGCUCGUCCUUGUUGCUAUUGUUGUUGUUUUUGUUGUUGUUGUUGUUGUUGUUGUUGUUGUUGGUGUCGUCGAAAGUGCAAACAACAAACAGGAGCACGUAAACUCUGGUCAUCAACCAGCGGCUAUCGUAAACCCUGGUCAUUCUGGUCGGAUUCAGCGAGCAUCACCGUUCGCUAAACGGCUAUAAUGGGAACGAUAAGCGCUAACCUUGCGAAUGCAAUAGUUAAGCAAAAUUAGCGCUUUCGGAUGACGAACCCUAUUGAACUGGGUGUACUGUUAAUUGGUUGCGGUAGGAUAAAGGUUAAAACAUAGAAGGUCGACCCUUGUAUUUAACGUGAACUCGACUCACGUGUACCGCGAAUGAUAAUCUGUGUAGUUGGCAUUGACGAAGGCGGCCGUAAAAGAGAUCACUGUGGAAUAGCAAAUCGUGCAGUGGAGGUGAUGUCCGGGCACAGAUGAUACUUACACAAAAAGGCGACAGCCAUGUCUGAAACAGCAAUAACGACCGUCGCAAAGUGUUUGUUUAACGCUGAAAUGGUCAGCUGAGACGAAUAGGACUAUACAAAAGUCAACUGGGGUGUCAAGUGGGGUAAAUGACUGUUUGAUUUUUGAAGUUCAAGGUGAAACUCGCUGCUCGUUUACGGCAGGGAGAGGAAUUUUAACGAGCUGCUGCAUACGAACCGUUCCAUUGCUAAACACCGUUUACUCAUAAACACUUUUACAAACUAAAGUUGUGAUGUACAUAAGGAUCUGCCGUCCAGGCAACAAUCGAAGCAGAGCCCACCUCUACAGAGGUCGGAACUACUUCGGACUGUUGUAAACCCAUGUGCUUCAUGUGUUAGUGAGUGCUUCUCCAUUGUUGUAUCUUAAAAGUGGCCCUAGUAGUUCUGCUUCUCAUCUGUUUUAUGUAAUCUUGUAAGGACUUUACGGUGGUUUGAUUAUUGACGGAGAACGAUGAUCUAGUAGAAAGCUGUACAUACCUCCGCGAUCGCGUACCGCGAUGGACAUGGAGGAGGCUACUUCAAAGGCCACCUCGACGCCAGGGGUAUCCAUGGUGGCUAGUCCCUCGCCACCACGGCGACCGCGUGAUUUCAGUGUUCGUUCAUUACUCGAAGAUACAGCAUCCCCGGCACAGCUCCCGUCGGCGCCUCCACCGCCUCCACCACCUCUUCUAUCACCACUGUACCAUCAAUACUAUCAGCAGUUAAUACUACAACAGCAGCAGCAGCAGCAGCAGCAGCAGCAGCAGCACCACCACCACCACCACCAUCAACAGGCUAACUUCGCCGGACCCCUGGGGGUUCCCUGGGGACUCGCAGGACUUGGUUUGGGCAUGGGUGUCGGUUUGGGUCUUGGUGCUCCAGGCAUGCUGGGUAUGCCAUCGGCUCCUCUAACUCCGAUUGCGCCAACACCGUCUUCGCCUUGUCUUGGGACUACCACGCCGACAAAGGACGACGGUGUGAGGGACGAUCCAGAAGUUACUUUAGAAGCUAAGGAUCUAUGGGAAAAGUUUCACGCUUUAGGAACGGAGAUGGUUGUCACAAAAUCUGGAAGGCGCAUGUUUCCACCGUUCAAAGUGCGCUUAUCCGGUCUUGAUCAGAAGGCGAAGUACGUGAUGUUGAUGGACAUCGUGGCGGGCGACGAUUGUAGGUACAAGUUCCAGAAUCGUCGCUGGGUCGUUGCUGGCAAAGCUGAUCCUGAAAUGCCGAAACGAAUGUACAUUCAUCCGGAUUCUCCUGCGACUGGCGAGCAAUGGAUGCAUAAAGUCGUCUCGUUCCAUAAGCUUAAACUCACUAACAAUAUUUCUGAUAAGCACGGAUUCACAAUCCUCAACUCAAUGCACAAAUACCAGCCCCGAUUUCAUCUCGUGCGUACGGCAGAUAUUGGCAAGCUAGCGUGCGCGUCGUUCAAGACCUUCAUUUUUCGGGAAACGGAAUUUAUCGCGGUGACCGCAUACCAAAACGAGAAGAUAACCCAGCUAAAAAUCGAUAACAACCCAUUUGCAAAAGGCUUUCGGGACACAGGCGCGGGCAAAACGAAUAAAAGGCGAUCGGCUGGUGAUCAGGACUCGAGCGAUGACGACGAUGGCUGUGAAACGCCGUCUAGCGCGAUGCUGCAAAGUCAUACUGAUUUUGACGUCGUUACAGCUCUCCGGGCCCAGCACGAAGAGCGAAUGGCAGUAGCAUUUUCGUCGUACGGCUCACCAGGUUUCGGCUCCAAGGGACCGUUCUCGUUGAGUCCGACACCUUCAUCGGGUUCGCUUGACUCCAGCGGAUAUGGGAGUCUGUCAGGAUUAGCCAGACCGUCGGCUGACGAUCAGCUCAAAAGUAUCCAGAAAAUGGUGUCAGGUUUGGAACGCCGUCAGGAGCAGCUAGCCAUGAUGUCACUCUCUCGGCUAGGAGAUAAAUGAUCGUGGCGCCCCGGUUUAAAAAUUACAAUCGAUCAAUUAACGAAUACGUAAAAACAGCAAUAUUCUAGUCAGUGGAAUCGAAGCAUCAUAAAUCCUGUGCAGCUUCGCGCAAAAGUGCUUCAAAGCGCUACCCCUUAUGCAUUCAUCGUAAAAUAAGCCGCCGCCGCCGAAACAUCAAUACUAUGUCUACGGAACGGCUUUGCACUUCCGGGGGCAUUCUUCAUAUCCACUGCUCAGGACCCGUACGUCACUCAAACGCUGUGUCCCCGAGCUUCGAGCUCAACAUGUUGAUUCCUACAGGUGAUCCAGUCGAGCUAACAUCGUUACGUGGAGAAAAUAUUACAUCGACCUGUUUCGUUUUUCUAGAUGAAAAAGCGUCUUGUUUACAAUCUGUCUGUCUAUCUAUCUAUCUAUCUUAUCUAUCUGUCUGUCUGUCUGUCUGUCUGUCUAUCUUGAACUUAAACUUCAGAACAAUGUCUGCACGGCUUCGCUCGUAAGUUGAUCCUUGAACUGAACGAUCGAGCGGCCGUAAAGGUGUGAACGGCGGUAAAUGGUGGGCAAACGCCGGGUUGGUUCAUCCCUACUAUACAAAUCGUCAGGGUCGACAUCGAACAGACAGACAGACGUACGUAGACCGUAAUGACAGUAUCUAUAUUAAACUAGACUAUCGGAUAAGGAGUAGAAACGUUGUACACGCAAAUAAGCCACAUCGAAACAGACGAUCAGUAUCUAUUCGAAGAAACUGCAUCGCACACAGUGAGCGGGCUUUGCUACUGCUAUAUUGUACAUAAUAGUGUACCUAUAUUAUCGCAACUAUGUGUUAUUAUUAUUAUUACGACUGUGUAAGUACGGGGAAUGGUGAAGGAAUGGAAAAAUGGGUAAAAAAAACCCAUUGCUGCUGAUAACGUUCAUCAUGUCUAGUUAAUAUAGAAACUACGUCUUCAAUUGAAGUUACAUCUGAAGGCAUAUGCAAAAUAGUAGACCGAUCGCGUUUGCUACAGAUAUAUUGUUUUAGAAAUAAAAUAUCUAAUAAAAUGAAAAAAAAAAUAAUAAUAAUAACAACGUAUGAAGGCUUUAUUGCAAAAUCCGUUAAAGCUGUGAGCUAACUAUGUACAUUUUAAUAGCAAUUUUCAAACGUGUAUCACACGUAGAAAUACUUUGGGAGUUGAUUUUGGACCAAGCAUAGUCCUUUGAAGUGCAUCGCGAAACUCUAGCAGAUCGUAGAAUUUUUUUUAUCAGGCAAAGAUGGCUUGUUCCUAUACUAUAGACAGAGACGUUCUAAUUAGCGACGAUGUCUAGCUGACGUAGUCUAUCGAUGCCUUACGUAUAAUACGUUUAGGACGACGAACUAUGAGUAACAAACAGUGACAAGGUUUAUAGAAGACCUACGGAGCUUGAUCUACUACACGACCGAGGCUACAUCGAAACGUACAAGCUUUUUCAUAUUUACCGCUGCUGUUUACAAGCACAAAACUUGUCUAUAUAAGUCAGCCUCUCAGCUGAACGCUUCUAGAUAAACGAAACAACAUAAAGACAAACGAAACACCGUCGCGAUGCGCUAAAGGCAACCACAAACAACGAUCUGAUCUAUCGUCGCUGCUAGAGCUAGUUUGCAAAAAAGCCUAGACAAUGAAUUAACAUCGCCAAAGUUAACUGUGUAAGUAAUACUUCCGAAGAAACAACAUAUUUAUGCACAACUUCGACAGAUGACCAACUGCUAUAGUCUUGUAAAGGCAAAACUGACACCGUUCAAUUUCCAUGGGGGCAUCCGGGGUUUAUUAGGCUGGUUUGAAAUUACGCACCAGGCUAACGCCGUAAUAAGACAGGCACCGGAAGCGCGUUCCUUCGAAAUUGUUUUACGUCCACGUCAAAAUUAACGCAGAGUGUCGUCGGAAACAGAUUAUGUAGGAUUGCGGUGUGACUGCAUCGUACCCGAACUCCAGUCAGUCCAAUGCGAAAUAUGCAUAGUAACUCCGUCAUGCAGUCAUGUGUGUUACAUAGUACUCUACGAUAAAGGCUAGUGAACGUUCUUUAAUCAUGCGAAGUACACUGUUGACAUUGAUACCUACAACAAAAUAGUAAUUACUAUCAUUAUGUAGUUAUUACACCAUUAAUUAUGUUGCUGAAAUUUGCCAAUGACAGUCACGCAUGGAAGGGCGGAUUUGCGACGGGUGAGAUUUUAGUUAGGACACAUGUUGCCCUGUUAGCUGAAGGACACCGAUGGUGCGUACGAAACUAUCGGCUAAGCCGCUCGAAGCUCAGCGUUACCACAACCGACGUCUACAUAUGCCACAAGAGGCAAUUUUCCCCCCCUGCGGGGGUUGACAAUGUAUGGAAAGAUUAUCUGGGAUUUGGGAAACUUGGUACUGCAGAUAUGAGAGCAGUAGCAACUCUGCAGAGAUGACAGUAAUAGAAAUGACACAAUUAAAAAAACGAAAACACGAAACAAAUGACUAUAGCUAUAAACAAACGGAUGGCGAUGGAUCGCAACGAAGCCGAAGAACGCCGAGAAUGAACCAGAGAGAGUAUUUUGUUGGCAACGAAAAAAAAAAGACAUAGAAAAUAAUAUUUAAAAUUAUUAUAAAUAACAAUAAUAAUAGUGGUAAUCACGAUGUUGAU